rnacentral:rRNA from 1 species
AUGGGGGGACCAUCCUCCAAGGCUAAAUACUCCUGACUGACCGAUAGUGAACCAGUACCGUGAGGGAAAGGCGAAAAGAACCCCUGUUAGGGGAGUGAAAUAGAACCUGAAACCGUGUACGUACAAGCAGUGGGAGCCCACUUGUUGGGUGACUGCGUACCUUUUGUAUAAUGGGUCAGCGACUUACAUUCUGUAGCGAGGUUAACCGAAUAGGGGAGCCGUAGGGAAACCGAGUCUUAACUGGGCGAAUAGUUGCAGGGUGUAGACCCGAAACCGGGCGAUCUACCCAUGAGCAGGUUGAAGGUUGGGUAACACUAACUGGAGGACCGAACCCACUAAUGUUGAAAAAUUAGGGGAUGACUUGUGGGUCGGAGUGAAAGGCUAAUCAAGCUCGGAGAUAUCUGGUUCUCCUCGAAAGCUAUUUAGGUAGCGCCUCGAGCGAAUACCACUGGGGGUAGAGCACUGUUAAGGCUAGGGGGUCAUCCCGACUUACCAACCCUUUGCAAACUCCGAAUACCAGUGAGUACUACUCGGGAGACACACGACGGGUGCUAACGUCCGCCGUGAAAAGGGAAACAACCCAGACCACCAGCUAAGGUCCCAAAGUCAUGGUUAAGUGGAAAACGAUGUGGAAAGGCAUAGACAGCUAGGAGGUUGGCUUAGAAGCAGCCACCCUUUAAAGAAAGCGUAAUAGCUCACUAGUCGAGUCGGUCUGCGCGGAAGAUGUAACGGGGCUAAACCAUGCACCGAAGCUGUGGACUUGUGCUAGGCACAAGUGGUAGAGGAGCGUUCUGUAAGCCGUUGAAGGUGUGUCGUGAGGCAUGCUGGAGGUAUCAGAAGUGCGAAUGCUGACAUAAGUAACGAUAAGGGGAGUGAAAAACUUCCCCGCCGGAAGACCAAGGGUUCCUAUCCCAUGCUAAUCAGGGUAGGGUAAGUCGGCCCCUAAGGCGAGGGCGAAAGCCGUAGUCGAUGGGAAACGGGUUAAUAUUCCCGUACCGACAGUACUGCGAUGGGGGGACGGAGAAGGCUAGGCAGGCAUGGCGUUGGUAGUCCAUGUGAAAGUAUGUAGGUUGGACGUUUAGGAAAAUCCGGAUGUCUAAGACUGAGAUACGAGACGAGCCACUACGGUGGUGAAGCUGUUGAUGCCACGCUUCCAGGAAAAGCCUCUAAGCUUCAGGUACUUGUCGACCGUACUCGAAACCGACACAGGUGGUCAGGUAGAGAAUACCAAGGCGCUUGAGAGAACUCUGGUGAAGGAACUAGGCAAAAUAGUACCGUAACUUCGGGAGAAGGUACGCUCUUGGGUGUGAAGGACUUGCUCCGUAAGCAUCUGAGAGUCGCAGUGACCAGCUGGCUGCAACUGUUUAUUAAAAACACAGCACUCUGCAAACUCGAGAGAGGACGUAUAGGGUGUGACACCUGCCCGGUGCCGGAAGGUUAAUUGAUGGGGUUAGCGCAAGCGAAGCUCUUGAUCGAAGCCCCGGUAAACGGCGGCCGUAACUAUAACGGUCCUAAGGUAGCGAAAUUCCUUGUCGGGUAAGUUCCGACCUGCACGAAUGGUGUAAUGAUGGCCAGGCUGUCUCCACCAGAGACUCAGUGAAAUUGAAAUUGCGGUGAAGAUGCCGUAUACCCGCGGCUAGACGGAAAGACCCCGUGAACCUUUACUAUAGCUUGGCACUGAACAUUGACCCUGUAUGUGUAGGAUAGGUGGGAGGCUUUGAAGCGGGAACGCCAGUUCUCGUGGAGCCGUCCUUGAAAUACCACCCUUGCAUGUUUGAUGUUCUAACGUGGGUCCCUAAUCGGGAUUGCGGACAGUGUCUGGUGGGUAGUUUGACUGGGGCGGUCUCCUCCUAAAGAGUAACGGAGGAGCACGAAGGUUGGCUAAGUACGGUCGGACAUCGUACGGUUAGUGCAAAGGCAGAAGCCAGCUUAACUGCGAGACAGACACGUCGAGCAGGUACGAAAGUAGGUCUUAGUGAUCCGGUGGUUCUGUAUGGAAGGGCCAUCGCUCAACGGAUAAAAGGUACUCCGGGGAUAACAGGCUGAUACCGCCCAAGAGUUCAUAUCGACGGCGGUGUUUGGCACCUCGAUGUCGGCUCAUCACAUCCUGGGGCUGAAGUCGGUCCCAAGGGUAUGGCUGUUCGCCAUUUAAAGUGGUACGCGAGCUGGGUUUAGAACGUCGUGAGACAGUUCGGUCCCUAUCUGCCGUGGGCGUUGGAUGAUUGAUUGGAGUUG